UACACUCCUGCGGGAGGCAGCAGUGGGGAAUAUUGGACAAUGGGCGCAAGCCUGAUCCAGCCAUGCCGCGUGAGUGAUGAAGGCCCUAGGGUUGUAAAGCUCUUUCACCGGUGAAGAUAAUGACGGUAACCGGAGAAGAAGCCCCGGCUAACUUCGUGCCAGCAGCCGCGGUAAUACGAAGGGGGCUAGCGUUGUUCGGAUUUACUGGGCGUAAAGCGCACGUAGGCGGACUAUUAAGUCAGGGGUGAAAUCCCGGGGCUCAACCCCGGAACUGCCUUUGAUACUGGUAGUCUUGAGUUCGAGAGAGGUGAGUGGAAUUCCGAGUGUAGAGGUGAAAUUCGUAGAUAUUCGGAGGAACACCAGUGGCGAAGGCGGCUCACUGGCUCGAUACUGACGCUGAGGUGCGAAAGCGUGGGGAGCAAACAGGAUUAGAUACCCUAGUAGUCCCAUGA
rnacentral:rRNA from 1 species